UACGUAGGGUCCGAGCGUUUUCCGGAAUUAUUUGGCGUAAAGAGCUUGUAGGCGGUUUGUCGCGUCUGCUGUGAAAUUUCGGGGCUCAACCCCGAACUUGCAGUGGGUACGGGCAGACUAGAGUGUGGUAGGGGAGACUGGAAUUCCUGGUGUAGCGGUGAAAUGCGCAGAUAUCAGGAGGAACACCGAUGGCGAAGGCAGGUCUCUGGGCCACUACUGACGCUGAGAAGCGAAAGCAUGGGGAGCGAACAGG
rnacentral:rRNA from 1 species